UGCCAGCAGCCGCGGUAAGACGGAGGAUGCAAGUGUUAUCCGGAAUUACUGGGCGUAAAGCGCACGUAGGCGGAUUGGAAAGUUGGGGGUGAAAUCCCGGGGCUCAACCCCGGAACUGCCUCCAAAACUAUCAGUCUAGAGUUUGGAAGAGAGAGAUGGAAUUCCAGGUGUAGUGGUGAAAUACGUAGAUAUCUGGAAGAACACCAGUGGCGAAGGCGAUCUCUUGGUCCAUAACUGACGCUGAGGCGCGAAAGCGUGGGGAGCAAACAGGAUUAGAUA
rnacentral:rRNA from 1 species